GGGAUCAGAGCUGCAACAUUUAAGCUUGCAACUCAGAUCCUGAUAUUAAAAACAAUAAAGUGAGAAACAAACUUUCUCUCAACAAACACAACAUAGAUUUUGCUUUUUUGUAUAUUAGUAUUAGAAUUAGAACAUCCGAAACACGCCAUCACUCACUCUCCUUCUUCUUCCUUUUUCUGUUUGAAAAGUUGGAGCCGUUACCUCAACAACCGCUUCACCAAAUCCACACUGUUUCCUCCAAAACGC
rnacentral:lncRNA from 1 species